UACAUAGGGGGCGAGCGUUGUCCGGAUUUAUUGGGCGUAAAGAGCGUGUAGGCGGCCAGGUAGGUCUGCUGUGAAAACUCGAGGCUCAACCUCGAGACGUCGGCGGAAACCAUCUGGCUAGAGUCCGGAAGAGGAGAGUGGAAUUCCUGGUGUAGCGGUGAAAUGCGCAGAUAUCAGGAAGAACACCCGUGGCGAAGGCGGCUCUCUGGGACGGUACUGACGCUGAGACGCGAAAGCGUGGGGAGCGAACAGG
rnacentral:rRNA from 1 species